UUUUCCUCCGGUGCUAUUCCACAAUUACUCUGGAAAAAUUUGGUUAAACUGCUGAUGUCCUGGUCGCGGAAUCCAAUGAACUUGUAAUACAACCCAUCUUUGACCCGAAUUCCCAACUGGUUUGACCUUGGGACCUUCAUCCAUGUUACACCAACAAUGUCUGCUUUAUCCACCUCAACUGCCUUCCCACCUCCUUGCUUCUUCCACUGAAUACCUCUUUGAUCUGUUUUAAGCUGACCAGGGUUAGUGCCUCCACGGCCGCCGAGAGAG
rnacentral:misc_RNA from 1 species